CCGUCGAUUGAGGAGGCUCGGCUCGCCUGGUCGCGGGCCGGGCCUCCUCGCGCGUUCAGGUCGCCAUCGAUGGGC
rnacentral:tRNA from 1 species